UACGGAGGGUGCAAGCGUUAUCCGGAUUCACUGGGUUUAAGGGGUGCGUAGGUGGGUUGGUAAGUCAGUGGUGAAAUCCCCGAGCUUAACUUGGGAACUGCCAUUGAUACUAUCAGUCUUGAAUACCGUGGAGGUCAGCGGAAUACGUCAUGUAGCGGUGAAAUGCUUAGAUAUGACAUAGAACACCAAUUGCGAAGGCAGCUGGCUACUCGGAUAUUGACACUGAGGCACGAAAGCGUGGGGAUCAAACAGG
rnacentral:rRNA from 1 species